GAUUGGUCUGGAGCUGCUUAGUUUUCAAGCUAGUGAGAGAAGCAGGCCUGGGUGUGCCCUGCCUAAGAUCUCGUUUCUCAUGCAGAUGCCGCUGCUUGAGGGUGAAAUGCAGGGAAGCCAUGCUCUCCUUCUCCAACUGCACCAGCCACUCAUUGCUGCUCCCGCUGCAAGGUCAUCCUGCUCCUUUCCCCUGCCUUCUCCUCUUAGGAUCUCGCUCUCAGAGCUGUCUCACCCAGUGGAUUACUUUGCUAGAACUGUCAUAACAAAAUGCAGCAGAUGGUGGGGUGGUGGCUUUAACAACAGAAACUUAUAUUCUUAUAGUUCUGGAGGCUGGAGUCCAAGAUCAAGGUGUUGACAGGUCUGCUUUCUUCUGAGGCCUCUCCCCUUGGCUUGCAGAUGGCAGCCUUCUUGCUGUGUCUUCACGUGGCCUUUUCCCUGUGUGCCUCAUCCUUGGUCUCUCUUUUUCUCUCUUCUUAUAAUACUCUGUGGGGUUUCAUGAUUUCUGUACUCCUAGGGAAUUUACUAAUUUCCAACAAUUUUAGAAAUGAAUUCACUUUUGACUUUUUGGGAAAAUUUUUAGGAUGUGAACUUCAAGACAGGAAGUCAUGGGUUAAACUGCCAGCUCUGGCAUUGACCUGCUGUGUGAUCUUGAUAGUGACUUAAUCUCUCUGGAAUUUAGCCUCCUUGUCUGUAAAAUGGGGCAUAAAAUGGCCUACUUUGUGGAGUUGUUAGGAUGCUUAAGAAAUGUUCUGUUCCUUCCCUCCCUUCCCCCCUUCCUCCUUCCCUUUUUAUUUCCCAUUGUUCUUUCAGGUUCUGCUGCUUUCCCACACCAAAUCUUGGUAUAUUUCUUUGGAAGGAUCCAGAGGCUCAGUUGGAAGAGGAGCACAAAUGGAACUCAGAGAUGGGACUGGCUGGGAAGACGCUCUGAGUGUGGUGGGCCUGGCAGACAGGGCUAUCCAGACAAGCAGAAAGCACCACCCGUGCCUCUGGGGUCACUGGACCACCCACCCUUGAACAAAGCUUUGCCCCUUCAUCACAUGCAGUCUUCCUCCAGCAGUCAACAGUGCCCAUGUACACAAUGUCAGUUCCUUUGUGCCCUGACUGCAUCAGCAUGUGGCGGCGAACAGUGUCAAAUGGAUGGGAAGUCAACCCAGCAACGGCAGUGACAGACUGUGCGCUCAUCCUACUGGUGAUGGUGUGAGUAUUCUUGGGAUCUGGAGGCAGGCCCUUUGUGGAGUCAUCGAGACCAAAGGAGGCAGCACAGUAGAUGAUAAUACCCUGCUCAGACACGUUAAAGCCUUGGUACAGGCCUGCAGUCCCAUCACAUUUGUAGAUCUUAAUCAGGCCGUCACCAAGGCCUCUGAAUUCCCUUUUAGCUCCAGCUUUACCCACCUGAUGCCAGAUUCCCUGCAAAGUAGCGCCCAAACUGGGUCCUCUUGUCCACACCACCCAGGAAGAUCUGCUUGUAUUUAUCUUUGAAGGCAAAG
rnacentral:lncRNA from 1 species